GAUCAUGGCUCAGGAUGAACGCUGACAGAAUGCUUAACACAUGCAAGUCAAUGGGGAAACGGUGCUUGCACCGUGAUAACCAUGGCGGACGGGUGAGUAACGCGUAAAGAACUUGCCUCUUAGUCUGGGAUAACAGAUGGAAACGACUGAUAAAACUAGAUAUUAUUAAAGUUUCGCAUGAAGCUUUAAUGAAAAGAGAUGCUAAGAGAGAGCUUUGCGUCCUAUUAGUUAGUUGG
rnacentral:rRNA from 1 species